rnacentral:rRNA from 1 species
UAACCUUGAUGGCGACCGGCGCACGGGUGAGUAACGCGUAUGCAACCUGCCCGAUACCGGGGUAUAGCCCAUGGAAACGUGGAUUAACACCCCAUAGUACUUUUAUCCUGCCUGGGAUGGGAGUUAAAUGUUCAAGGUAUCGGACGGGCAUGCGUCCUAUUAGUUAGUUGGCGGGGUAACAGCCCACCAAGACGAUGAUAGGUAGGGGUUCUGAGAGGAAGGUCCCCCACAUUGGAACUGAGACACGGUCCAA